rnacentral:rRNA from 1 species
UUAGUACUACACUGCGUGAGCGGACGAAAACAACAACACCUAAAAUGUGGAAUAUAGCAUAUAGUCGACAAGAGAAAUCUACGAAAAACAAACAAAACUUUCAACAACGGAUCUCUUGGUUCUCGCAUCGAUGAAGAGCGCAGCGAAAUGCGAUACCUAGUGUGAAUUGCAGCCAUCGUGAAUCAUCGAGUUCUUGAACGCACAUUGCGCCCCUCGGCAUUCCGGGGGGCAUGCCUGUUUGAGCGUCGUUUCCAUCUUGCGCGUGCGCAGAGUUGGGGGAGCGGAGCGGACGACGUGUAAAGAGCGUCGGAGCUGCGACUCGCCUGAAAGGGAGCGAAGCUGGCCGAGCGAACUAGACUUUUUUUCAGGGACGCUUGGCGGCCGAGAGCGAGUGUUGCGAGACAACAAAAAGCUCGACCUCAAAUCAGGUAGGAAUACCCGCUGAACUUAAGCAAUAAGCGGAGGAAAAG